rnacentral:sRNA from 1 species
AACAUUACGCCAAGUGAAAGGAGACAGCCAGCAAAGAUCACAUAUGUCUCACUGUUAGAAACCAGGAAGAUCAGAGGCCCACAAUAGCUUCCCACGAACUCAGAGCAGAUCUUCCAACCUGGGAAGAAAGCCCUGCUCCUACUCUGGAAGAAGUCAACGCCUGGGCUCAGUCAUUUGACAAAUUAAUGGUCACUCCAGCAGGAAGGAAUGCAUUCCGUGAAUUCCUCCGAACAGAAUUCAGUGAAGAAAAUAUGCUCUUCUGGAUGGCCUGUGAGGAACUGAAAAAGGAAGCUAAUAAAAACAUUAUUGAAGAGAAAGCAAGGAUAAUCUAUGAAGACUACAUUUCUAUACUUUCUCCUAAGGAGGUGAGCUUAGACUCCCGGGUGAGAGAAGUGAUCAACAGAAACAUGGUGGAGCCAUCCCAACACAUAUUCGAUGAUGCUCAACUUCAGAUUUACACCCUGAUGCACAGAGACUCAUAUCCUCGAUUCAUGAACUCUGCUGUCUAUAAGGACUUGCUUCAGUCCUUAUCGGAGAAAUCCGUUGAAGCAUAGGAUUUUUCAAAUAUAUUUAUUAUUAAUAAAAUAAUAAAAGAACUCAUGGGCUACAUCUAGCACAGGGAAUUUAGAGGUUGUAGCAUCUUCUGCUGGAGUAAUACUCAGGCUAUUCUAAUAACAAAUGAUUCCUUCAACAGACUGCUAUAUAUUCACCAUGUAAAUUGCAGCCACCUUUAGUGAUACUUUUGAAAUAAAAAUAAAGGGAUAUGGCUGUUGUAGAAAGAUAGCGUAUUU